rnacentral:rRNA from 1 species
UACGUAGGGGGCAAGCGUUGUCCGGAAUCAUUGGGCGUAAAGAGCGCGUAGGCGGCCCUGUAAGUCCGCUGUGAAAGUCAAGGGCUCAACCCUUGGAUGCCGGUGGAUACUGCAGGGCUAGAGUUCGGAAGAGGCGAGUGGAAUUCCUGGUGUAGCGGUGAAAUGCGCGGAUAUCAGGAAGAACACCCGUGGCGAAGGCGGCUCUCUGGGACGGUACUGACGCUGAGACGCGAAAGCGUGGGGAGCGAACAGG